GAUGAACGCUGGCGGCGUGCCUAACACAUGCAAGUCGAACGAAGCAUCUUAUCUUGAUUUCUUUGGAAUGAUUGAUUUGAUGACUGAGUGGCGACGGGUGAGUAACGCGUGGGUAACCUGCCUUAUACAGGGGGAUAACAGUUAGAAAUGACUGCUAAUACCGCAUAAGCGCACAGUAUCGCAUGAUACAGUGUGAAAAACUCCGGUGGUAUAAGAUGGACCCGCGUCUGAUUAGCUAGUUGGUGAGGUAAUGGCUCACCAAGGCGACGAUCAGUAGCCGGCCUGAGAGGGUGAACGGCCACAUUGGGACUGAGACACGGCCCAA
rnacentral:rRNA from 1 species